rnacentral:rRNA from 1 species
UACGGAGGGUGCAAGCGUUAUCCGGAUUCACUGGGUUUAAAGGGUGCGUAGGAGGGCAGGUAAGUCAGUGGUGAAAUCUUCGAGCUUAACUCGGAAACUGCCAUUGAUACUAUAGGUCUUGAAUUAUCUGGAGGUGAGCGGAAUAUGUCAUGUAGCGGUGAAAUGCUUAGAUAUGACAUAGAACACCAAUUGCGAAGGCAGCUCACUACGGAUUUAUUGACACUGAGGCACGAAAGCGUGGGGAUCAAACAGG